GGGCCAUAGCUCAAUGGUAGAGCAUCUGUUUUGCAAGUGGCAGGUUCCAGGUUCAAUCCCCAGCAUCUCCA